AUGGUGGAUGGUCAGAAGAAAGUAAAUUUAUUGCUCCAUUCAUUGAAAAGUAAAACCACGGCGUCUACUAAGACGACGUGUUGUCGCUACCGUGGUUUUAUGUGCGCUGGUUAGUACGCUGUACGUAGAUAUAGUGUUUGUAAAGGGAAAAGCAUUGUUAUAUCUUUGGAACGGGUUUUGAGAGCUUUGCAAUUUUUAAGCUAAUUAAACCUGUUACUCAAGGACGACGACAAUGGCCGCCACUGGAUUUGUUUUGAUAUUUUGGAUUACGUUAUGAAAGGAUUGUGUGUAAAACGGCGAAAAUUUACGGAAUGGUUAAAUCGCAAGCCAUUGAACUCAUGGAAUACUAUAUUGCCGAAUUUACUCAGGGCUAUAAACUCUUGAACAACUAAACGCGACACCUCCAUCCUUGAUUCACCUCCAACCGAUCAAACCAUGUUGCCGCAUCAAAUGACUAACCAUCACCCGAUUAAUACCAAUCGAUGCCCUUAACCCGUAGAGAUCAAUCAGCAAGUCCAACGCCGCAAGCCAAUAAAUUGAUGUCAUCUGUUGUUCAACACAUCAACCCGAACCGUGUGUAAGCAAUGAGGAAAACCACUGUCAGAUUUACAAAUUACUACUCAACUGAUUAUGCACGUCGUCGUCAGUCGAACUACAUGGAAACAAGACGACGUGAUCGAAACUGUCAAGCAAUUUAAUAACGGGUCCGUUCACAUUGAUCGUAACGUGGAAUAAGCCUCCUCUUUAAGUUUCCAAUUGAUCAUUGGUUGUAACCAUUUGGGUACUACAACACGAAUCAUAUUAUUAAACGACAUAAUAUAUGGACAAUCCCGUCAUCCGCCAAUAGCUAGAAUUAACAGAACAACGAAAUCGUGACCACCACCGGAGGGAGUUUGAUUGAUCGAAUGGUCCCUCUGUGCCGCACGACGCUCGAACGGGACACUGGUGUAAAGUUUGUGAUCACGAAAAUAUGCCUGGUAUGCAGCAGCAGCAACGCGACAAACGCGGCAGACGGGAAGACGAGACACGAAAUGAUGGAUUCCCGAAUGUGAUAGUGUCGCUGGCAGGGGGGCGGGGUUUUGCGCGAGCGCGCGCACUUAACAGCAAAGAGAAAGUUGGAGCUACUACCAUCAGCAGGGUCAGCGAAACAGAGCGUUUUCGUCCUAAAUCUGCACCGACUGACGAGGGGUAAGUCAAUGAU